GUGUUGGAUUCAGCAGCACACAUACUGAAACUGGAAUGAUACAGAAAAAAAUUAGCAUAGCCCCUGCUAAAUUAUGUCAUGCAAAUUCAUGAAGUAUUUCAUAUUUUU
rnacentral:snRNA from 1 species